GUGGGCAUAGCUCAGUGGUGGAGCACAUGCUUAGUAUGCAUGAGGUCCCAAGUUCAUCCCUAGUACCUUCA
rnacentral:tRNA from 1 species